AGGGAUGCUGGGGUCCCGCGAGCCUAGGUUGGGUUUCCAGGGCUGGGGGCUCGGCGGCGGCUCCUGGGCGCCCCCUGGCGGCCCCGACUCAGCCGCCGCGGCUCCCACAAUGCUCGCGUAGCCGGGCUUCGGCUCCCGUGGCGGCGACGGCGGCGGCUCCAAGAUGGCGCAGGCGAUCUUUGAGGCCCUGGAGGGAAUGGACAAUCAGACCGUUCUGGCUGUCCAGUCAUUAUUGGAUGGCCAAGGAGCAGUCCCUGAUCCGACAGGCCAAAGUGUCAACGCGCCCCCUGCUAUCCAGCCAUUGGAUGACGAGGAUGUAUUUCUCUGCGGGAAGUGUAAGAAGCAAUUCAACUCGCUGCCAGUGUUUAUGACCCACAAACGGGAACAGUGCCAGGGGAAUGCCCCCGCCCUGGCCACAGUCUCACUGGCCACCAACAGCAUCUACACACCUUCGGCAGCACCCACAGCGGUCCAGCAGGCCCCAACUCCUGCCAAUCGCCAGAUCUCCACAUACAUCACAGUGCCCCCGUCCCCACUGAUCCAGACCCUGGUGCAGGGGAACAUCUUGGUGAGCGAUGAUGUGCUUAUGUCUGCCAUGUCGGCCUUCACAUCCCUGGACCAGCCCAUGCCCCAGGGACCCCCACCUGUGCAGAGCAGCCUGAACAUGCAUUCUGUGCCCAGCUACCUCACCCAGCCUCCCCCCCCUCCUCCACCUCCUCCACCACUGCCCCCACCGCCACCACCUCAGCCCCCACCACCUCCACCCCAGAGCCUGGGCCCCCUGGGCGUCCCAACCCUAGUGGGAAUGGUGUGGUGGAGGUGUACAGUGGUGCCGCGCCCCUGCCUGGGAGUGGAACGGUGGAGAUCCAGGCGCUGGGGAUGCAGCCCUACCCACCCCUGGAGGUGCCAAACCAGUGUGUGGAGCCUCCAGUAUAUCCCACCCCACAGUGUACAGCCCUGGCAAACAGGGAUUCAAACCCAAAGGACCAAACCCCGCUGCCCCCAUGACCAGCGCUACCGGGGGCACGGUGGCCACCUUUGACUCUCCACCAAUGCUGAAGACCCGACGGGCUAAAGGUGCCAGGGGACUCCCGGAAGCUGCAGGGAAGCCAAAGGCCCAGAAACUCAAGUGCUCAUACUGUGACAAGUCAUUCACCAAAAACUUUGACCUGCAGCAGCACAUCCGAAGCCACACUGGUGAGAAGCCCUUCCAGUGCAUUGCAUGUGGCCGUGCCUUUGCCCAGAAGUCUAAUGUUAAGAAACACAUGCAGACCCACAAGGUGUGGCCUCCAGGACACAGUGGUGGAACCGUGUCUCGAAACUCUGUGACUGUACAGGUCAUGGCCCUGAACCCCAGCAGGCAGGAGGACGAGGAAAACGCAG